UUUUGUUAUAGAUAAUAUCAAGAAAUUCAACUCUCCAUUAGAAGGUUACAAGGUAUUCAACUCUUCGACAGUUGAAGAAGAUAUCAAGGAAUUGGCUCCUAUCAUAAGCGAUCAAAAGAAAUACUAUGUUUAUCUAUUGGAAUAUAUUGAAGAUAAUUUAACUAGUACG